AUUGAACGCUGGCGGCAGGCCUAACACAUGCAAGUCGAGCGGAUGAAGGGAGCUUGCUCCUGGAUUCAGCGGCGGACGGGUGAGUAAUGCCUAGGAAUCUGCCUGGUAGUGGGGGAUAACGUCCGGAAACGGGCGCUAAUACCGCAUACGUCCUGCGGGAGAAAGUGGGGGAUCUUCGGACCUCACGCUAUCAGAUGAGCCUAGGUCGGAUUAGCUAGUUGGUGGGGUAAAGGCCUACCAAGGCGACGAUCCGUAACUGGUCUGAGAGGAUGAUCAGUCACACUGGAACGGAGACACGGUCCAGACUCCUACGGGAGGCAGCAGUGGGGAAUAUUGGACAAUGGGCGAAGGCCUGAUCCAGCCAUGCCGCGUGUGUGAAGAAGGUCUUCGGAUUGUAAAGCACUUUAAGUUGGGAGAAAGGGCAGUAAGUUAAUACCUUGCUGUUUUGACGGUACCAACAGAAUAAGCACCGGCUAACUUCGUG
rnacentral:rRNA from 1 species